CUGUGCGUCCUUUCAGCUGGUGUUGAAACGUGAGGGUCACUCGUAGCACAGGGUUCUCAGAAGUUCAAAAGUAUGGCCCUCUUUCGUGUUGUUGCGAGACGAUUUGGUGCGCAUUCAAAGCAAUUUCUCCCUAGUUCCUCAUUUGCAUCAAGACAGUUCCAUGACUCCACAACUCUGUAUUCUAAUGGACAAACUGUAAGUA